rnacentral:rRNA from 1 species
GACUGCCGGUGACAAGCCGGAGGAAGGUGGGAUGACGUCAAGUCAGCAUGGCCUUUAUAUCCUGGGCUACACACACGCUACAAUGGCCAACACAAUAGGUUGCUAAGCCGCGAGGUGGCGCCAAUCCAUAAAGUUGGUCUCAGUUCAGAUUGUAGGCUGCAACCCGCCUGCAUGAAGAUGGAGUUGCUAGUAACCGCAGGUCAGCUAUACUGCGGUGAAUACCGGUUCCCGGGGCUU